AUUACUAGAAAUAUAACAGAAAAUAUUAUUUGUAAAAUCCUUUAUCCUUUAUGAUUUUGUAUUGAUAUACGAUGAAGCCUAAAAAAAAUCUGUAAAGUCUGUUGGAUCAGAUCAACGAAAUGCAUUGCAAACACGUGCACGGCAAUGUGUAAAAUUCCUAUUUCUAUAUAUAAAAAAAAAUUCGUUGAGAGACGUCAGAAUUAAUUUUGCGUUGCGAAUUAUUUUCAAGAUGUGAAAAAAGAAAUAUAAAUACAUUCAUUUCAAAUUAUUCAUUGAGCUCUUUUAAAAGUAUCAAAGAAAUAAAUACAUCCACUUCAAAAGGACCAUUGAGAAGUCAUCCUGAAACCACGCCAUCCAUCAACUAAAUAUCAAUACAGACCUAACUCCCAAAACCCCCCAAAAUAAAAAAGAAAGAAAAUAACAGCUUAUUGAAGAGAAUCGUGAAGAUGCACACCCGGAAGUGACAUCAUCGUGGCGGGAAGCUGCCGGCCAAUCAGGGCGUUGUUGACAGUGCGAGGCCGAAGGUCCCCACGUGCAGAGGUCGCUUCACGCCGCUCUUCGAACACAACGUGGUCACCAUGCGUGGGAUGGAGAAGACUUACUUUUGGGGACUUACCCUUGAUGGGUCUACAAAAGAAAAGAGCUGGGAAGGCCAGUGUGUACUGAAUAACCUUGAAGCCACAA